UACGGAGGGUGCGAGCGUUGUCCGGAAUCAUUGGGCGUAAAGGGCGCGUAGGUGGCCCGGUCAGUUCGUGGUGAAAGCGCGGGGCUCAACCCUGCGUCGGCCAUGAAUACUGCCGCGGCUGGAGCACUGUAGAGGCAGGCGGAAUUCCGGGUGUAGCGGUGGAAUGCGUAGAGAUCCGGAAGAACACCGGUGGCGAAGGCAGCCUCCUGGGCUAGUACUGACGCUCAUGCACGAAAGCGUGGGGGAGCAAACAGG
rnacentral:rRNA from 1 species